rnacentral:rRNA from 1 species
UUGAUCCUGGCUCAGGAUGAACGCUAGCGGCAGGCUUAACACAUCCAUGUCGAGGGGUAGAAGCAGCUUGCUGCUUUGAGGCCGGCGCACGGGUGCGUAACGCGUAUACAAUCUACCUUUUACAGAGGGAUAGCCCAGAGAAAUUUGGAUUAAUACCUCAUAGUAUUUUCGAAUCGCAUGAUUUGAUUAUUAAAGUUCCAACGGUAAAAGAUGAGUAUGCGUCCCAUUAGCUAGAUGGUAAGGUAACGGCUUACCAUGGCAACGAUGGGUAGGGGUCCUGAGAGGGAGAUCCCCCACACUGGUACUGAGACACGGACCAGACUCCUACGGGAGGCAGCAGUGAGGAAUAUUGGACAAUGGGCGCAAGCCUGAUCCAGCCAUGCCGCGUGCAGGAAGACGGUCCUAUGGAUUGUAAACUGCUUUUAUACAGGAAGAAACACACCCUCGUGAGGGUACUUGACGGUACUGUAUGAAUAAGCAUCGGCUAACUCCGUGCCAGCAGCCGCGGUGAUACGGAGGAUGCAAGCGUUAUCCGGAAUCAUUGGGUUUAAAGGGUCCGUAGGCGGCCAAAUAAGUCAGUGGUGAAAGCCCAUCGCUCAACGAUGGAACGGCCAUUGAUACUGUUUGGCUUGAAUUAUUAGGAAGUAACUAGAAUAUGUAGUGUAGCGGUGAAAUGCUUAGAGAUUACAUGGAAUACCAAUUGCGAAGGCAGGUUACUACUAAUAUAUUGACGCUGAUGGACGAAAGCGUGGGGAGCGAACAGGAUUAGAUACCCUGGUAGUCCACGCCGUAAACGAUGGAUACUAGCUGUUCGGAGCAAUCUGAGUGGCUAAGCGAAAGUGAUAAGUAUCCCACCUGGGGAGUACGUUCGCAAGAAAUGAACUCAAAGGGAAUGACGGGGGCCCGCACAAGCGGUGGAGCAUGUGGUUUAAUU